GAGGGUACAGCUCAGUGGUAGAGCACAUGCUUAGCGUGCACCAGGUCCUGGGUUCAGUCCCCAGUACCUCCA
rnacentral:tRNA from 1 species